AUGGACCUCUCGUACACUCCGGUUCCGAGAGCGCCGUCCACACCCACCAGCGCACUGCUUGCUACGUUGUGUGAGCA
rnacentral:sRNA from 2 species